UACGUAGGGGGCAAGCGUUGUCCGGAUUUAUUGGGCGUAAAGAGCGUGUAGGCGGCCUGACAGGUCUGCUGUGAAAACUCGAGGCUCAACCUCGAGAUGUCGGCGGAAACCGUCUGGCUAGAGUCCGGAAGAGGAGAGUGGAAUUCCUGGUGUAGCGGUGAAAUGCGCAGAUAUCAGGAAGAACACCUAUGGCGAAGGCAGCGUCUCUGGGACGGUACUGACGCUGAGA
rnacentral:rRNA from 1 species